GAUGAACGCUGGCGGCGUGCCUAAUACAUGCAAGUCGAGCGAACUGAUUAGAAGCUUGCUUCUAUGACGUUAGCGGCGGACGGGUGAGUAACACGUGGGCAACCUGCCUGUAAGACUGGGAUAACUUCGGGAAACCGAAGCUAAUACCGGAUAGGAUCUUCUCCUUCAUGGGAGAUGAUUGAAAGAUGGUUUUGGCUAUCACUUACAGAUGGGCCCGCGGUGCAUUGGCUAGUUGGUGAGGUAACGGCUCACCAAGGCAACGAUGCAUAGCCGACCUGAGAGGGUGAUCGGCCACACUGGGACUGGGAGACGGCCCAGACUCCUACGGGAGGCAGCAGUAGGGAAUCUUCCGCAAUGGACGAAAGUCUGACGGAGCAACGCCGCGUGAGUGAUGAAGGCUUUCGGGUCGUAAAACUCUGUUGUUAGGGAAGAACAAGUACAAGAGUAACUGCUUGUACCUUGACGGUACCUAACCAGAAAGCCACGGCUAACUACGUGCCAGCCGCCGCAGUAAAAC
rnacentral:rRNA from 1 species